rnacentral:rRNA from 1 species
CUCGUAGGCGGUUUGUCGCGUCUGCUGUGAAAUCCUCAGGCUCAACUUGGGGCGUGCAGUGGGUACGGGCAGACUAGAGUGCGGUAGGGGAGACUGGAAUUCCUGGUGUAGCGGUGGAAUGCGCAGAUAUCAGGAGGAACACCGAUGGCGAAGGCAGGUCUCUGGGCCGUUACUGACGCUGAGGAGCGAAAGCAUGGGGAGCGAACA